CGGCAGGCCUAACACAUACAAGUCGGACGGAAACGACAAGAACAAUCACUUCGGUGUGCGUUUUUGGGCGUCGAGCGGCGGACGGGUGAGUAACGCGUGGGAAUCUACCCUUUAGUUGGGGACAACAUAUGGAAACGUAUGCUAAUACCGAAUAUGCUCUACGGAGUAAAGGUGCCCUCUCCUUGGAAGGUAUCGCUAAAGGAUGAGCCCGCGUUAGAUUAGCUAGUUGGUAAGGUAAAGGCUUACCAAGGCGACGAUCUAUAGCUGGUUUGAGAGGAUGAUCAGCCACACUGGGACUGAGACACGGCCCAGACUCCUACGGGAGGCAGCAGUGGGGAAUAUUGCACAAUGAGGGAAACCUUGAUGCAGCCAUGCCGCGUGUGUGAAGAAGGCCCGAGGGUUGUAAAGCACUUUCAAUUGUGAGGAAGAUUAAGUAGCUAAUACCUGCUUAGUUUGACGUUAACUUUAGAAGAAGCACCGGCUAACUCUGUGCCAGCAGCCGCGGUAAUACAGAGGGUGCAAGCGUUAUUCGGAAUUACUGGGCGUAAAGCGCGCGUAGGCGGACUGUUAAGUCGGUUGUGAAAGCCCUGGGCUCAACCUAGGAACUGCAUCCGAUACUGGCAAUCUAGAGUUUAAGAGAGGGAAGUGGAAUUCCAGGUGUAGCAGUGAAAUGCGUA
rnacentral:rRNA from 1 species